AUUUCAUAGUACUGGCAUCU
rnacentral:misc_RNA from 1 species